UGUGGUUUGCUUUUGAGUAUGU
rnacentral:miRNA from 1 species